GAUGAACGCUAGCGGCAGGCUUAACACAUGCAAGUCGAGGGGUAUAGCACUUCGGUGCUAGAGACCGGCGCACGGGUGCGUAACGCGUAUGCAAUCUACCUUUUACAGAGGGAUAGCCCAGAGAAAUUUGGAUUAAUACCUCAUAGUAUUAUGAAUGGCAUCAUUUUAUAAUUAAAGUCACAACGGUAAAAGAUGAGCAU
rnacentral:rRNA from 1 species